rnacentral:rRNA from 1 species
UACGUAGGAUGCGAGCGUUAUCCGGAUUUAUUGGGUUUAAAGGGUGCGUAGGAGGGAUGCCAAGUCAGCGGUAAAAAUGCGGUGCUCAACGCCGUCGAGCCGUUGAAACUGGCGUUCUUGAGUGGGCGAGAAGUAUGCGGAGUGCGUGGUGUAGCGGUGAAAUGCAUAGAUAUCACGCAGAACUCCGAUUGCGAAGGCAGCAUACCGGCGCCCUACUGACGCUGAGGCACGAAAGCGUGGGUAUCGAACAGG